rnacentral:ncRNA from 1 species
UUGAGCCGUAUGCUUGGAAACUUGCACGUACGGUUCUUAGGGGAGAAAAGGGGAGUAAUCCCCUCUACUUACCCGAC